UUAACCUUCCCCCAUUUUACUGCUUCGGUGUACCUACUCGAGUGGCUGCUCUUGCUGGCGUUGCCGUCCUUGGUUGCUGCGGAGGAGGAAGUGCAAGAGCCCGGAUUCGUGUGCUCCUCUUCCUCGUCGUCCGGGUCUUUCUCCUGCUCCGGGGCUCCGGGUCCGGAGGCUGUGGGCGGCUGCUGCUGCUGCUGCUGCUGUUGCUGCGGUUGCUGUUGCUGUUGGGAGUCGCUUUCCAGCUUCCCCCCCUCGCCCUUUUGUAAACAAUUGUCUGACUGAUGGUCCGUGCUGCUGCAGUAUGCGGUCUCAAAAAAGCGGUCGAAACCUUGCGGGAGGACGUUGUUCUUCCCCACGCCGGAGUAAAACCCCGUGGAAGGGUGAUUGGAGCCCGGUCCCAAAAAGGAAAAAAAAACACUUCCCCAUAGCUGUGGUAGGGUGUUGUGAAGUGAAGCUAAACCGACGCGUUUUGAAGACGACUGCGCAACACACCACCCUGUUCCUGGAGUUCCUGCAGGAAUACUACCAGUGAAGCCCUUGGACCAUGAUCUCCUCUAAAGGAGAAAUUGUUACACGAACACACUCAAAUAAAAUAAAAAUAUC